UUGAACGCUGGCGGCAGGCCUAACACAUGCAAGUCGAACGGUAACAGAAAGCGGCUUGCUGCUUUGCUGACGCGUGGCGGACGGGUGAGUAAUGUCUGGGAAACUGCCUGAUGGAGGGGGAUAACUACUGGAAACGGUAGCUAAUACCGCAUAACGUCGCAAGACCAAAGAGGGGGACCUUCGGGCCUCUUGCCAUCGGAUGUGCCCAGAUGGGAUUAGCUAGUAGGUGGGGUAAAGGCUCACCUAGGCGACGAUCCCUAGCUGGUCUGAGAGGAUGACCAGCCACACUGGAACUGAGACACGGUCCAGACUCCUACGGGAGGCAGCAGUGGGGAAUAUUGCACAAUGGGCGCAAGCCUGAUGCAGCCAUGCCGCGUGUAUGAAGAAGGCCUUCGGGUUGUAAAGUACUUUCAGCGGGGAGGAAGGGAGUAAAGUUAAUACCUUUGCUCAUUGACGUUACCCGCAGAAGAAGCACCGGCUAACUCCGUG
rnacentral:rRNA from 1 species